UGCGUGCUCACUGCUCUAUCUGUCAGAUUCCGGCUCCGAUUCGGUCCCGGUCACGUUUUUUUUUUCUAAUUGUGUUCCCAUCUCUCACUUUCUCUCUCAUGUGUUUUUCAUCUCUCAAAGGUAUGAAAUGUUAUCUUGGGGUUUUUUUUUGGGGGAAGAGGUUUGGAUUAUCUAAAUCGAUAUUUUGGUAGCCACCCCUUUCAAAUUGGUCAUGCAAAGUCAAAAAGAGAUGAAUACUGCAGGGCUUUUGCGUAACCUAUUUGUAAUAUUCUGUGGUACUGAUUAAGAGUUGAUGUGCUUUGAUCUAUUUAAUUGAUUUCGUCAUGUUGCACAUAUA
rnacentral:precursor_RNA from 1 species